GGGGAAUCUUCCGCAAUGGACGAAAGUCUGACGGAGCAACGCCGCGUGAGUGAUGACGGCCUUCGGGUUGUAAAGCUCUGUUAAUCGGGACGAAAGGCCUUCUUGCGAAUAGUUAGAAGGAUUGACGGUACCGGAAUAGAAAGCCACGGCUAACUACGUGCCAGCAGCCGCGGUAAUACGUAGGUGGCAAGCGUUGUCCGGAAUUAUUGGGCGUAAAGCGCGCGCAGGCGGAUUGGUCAGUCUGUCUUAAAAGUUCGGGGCUUAACCCCGUGAUGGGAUGGAAACUGCCAAUCUAGAGUAUCGGAGAGGAAAGUGGAAUUCCUAAUGUAGCGGUGAAAUGCGUAGAUAUUAGGAAGAACACCAGUGGCGAAGGCGACUUUCUGGACGAAAACUGACGCUGAGGCGCGAAAGCCAGGGGAGCGAACGGGAUUAGAUACCCCGGUAGUCCUGGCCGUAAACGAUGGGUACUAGGUGUAGGAGGUAUCGACCCCUUCUGUGCCGGAGUUAACGCAAUAAGUACCCCGCCUGGGGAGUACGACCGCAAGGUUG
rnacentral:rRNA from 1 species